rnacentral:rRNA from 1 species
GCAAGCGUUAAUCGGAAUUACUGGGCGUAAAGGGUGCGUAGGCGGUUCGUUAAGUCUGUCGUGAAAUCCCCGGGCUCAACCUGGGAAUGGCGAUGGAUACUGGCGAGCUAGAGUGUGUCAGAGGAUGGUGGAAUUCCCGGUGUAGCGGUGAAAUGCGUAGAGAUCGGGAGGAACAUCAGUGGCGAAGGCGGCCAUCUGGGACAACACUGACGCUGAAGCACGAAAGCGUGGGGAGCAAACAGG